rnacentral:lncRNA from 1 species
GUUACCGAUGCAUAAAAUGCAAAAAUAAAAUAAAAUAAAUAAACUAGAAAUUUGACAAAAAUAAAAAAAAAAAGGAGAGGGCGGGUGGGUAAAUUUCGAUCUGAUUACUCUAACGUAUUCUAAUGUAAUGACUAGGAAAAAGAAUUCACUUUAAAACUAAAGGUGGAGUGAACACAAUUCGAAAUCAGUUAAGCGAGAAUAUCAAAUGAUCGGCCAAAGGGGGGUAACUAGAACAUAUUUCGCAUCGUAAUUACUAGUUUUUUUAGAAAAAACAAACCAAUUACUUCUUGGCUUCAUAAAAGACUGUAAUAAUAAUAUAAAUUUAUUUGGCCGAAAACAUAAAUCUUUACAUACAUGAAUUACAAUAAUAUAAAGAACAAUUACCAAUACAUAUACAAAUAUUAAUACUUAUUCAGUUAAACUAGAAUAAUAUAAAUUAAGGCGGGCCACAAAAAUUAAAUAUCCGCCAAACUAGCCCGCCAAACAAAACCAAACAAGUUACAGAUGUGGUUAAACCCAAGAGAUGUAACACUCUCUUGAAAGUUCAACUCCAAGCAGUAAGAAUAAAACACUUCUUCAGCUGCUAGAUCUACUUAGGAGAUACUCACGGAAAUCUCUCCUAAAAGUAGAGUACCUUAAAGAGACAUAUAUACACUAAUGAAUCCAAAGGAUGAAACACUCCCUUGAAAAUUCAAACACCUAAGGAAUGAAACACUCCCUUUAGGCUAGCCUAUAAAAACUAAAUAAUAAUAAUGACAUACAUGAAGAC